UACGUAGGGGGCAAGCGUUGUCCGGAAUCAUUGGGCGUAAAGAGCGUGUAGGCGGCCCGAUAAGUCCGCUGUGAAAGUCCAGGGCUCAACCCUGGGAUGCCGGUGGAUACUGUCGGGCUCGAGUCCGGAAGAGGAGUGUGGAAUUCCUGGUGUAGCGGUGAAAUGCGCAGAUAUCAGGAGGAACACCAAUGGCGAAGGCAGCACUCUGGGACGUGACUGACGCUGAGACGCGAAAGCUAGGGGAGCAAACAGG
rnacentral:rRNA from 1 species